CCCAGGAAGCAGCUCUGGAGUGAGGCUGUAACGACAACGUGCUUGGGGCCUGCCACUUGCUCUGUUGGGCAUGUGGCCUGAUGCAUUGGAGGUGGUCACAACCCUCCAGCUUCCUGCACAGCCUGUGGUGCACGGACGAAGACCAUGCAAAGGUAUCUCACUUGAUUGUGCUAUUUUCAGAACGACAUUCUGCUUACAGCCGAGGAACUCAGAUGAACUAAGAUACGGUGUGCAUGAUACCCUUGCCUUCACUUCAUCACCUUCUUGCUAUUGACACCCUUAUCUUCUCCAUGGAAGGUAAUUCCAUGGAGACAAUACCUAGUUCCUGGUCUCUGUACAUAUACUAAUGGAAGAGAUUAUGACUGUAGUCUCCUUACAGGACAUAGGUGGCACAUUGAAGAAAGCUUCAAUGCAACAAUAAUUUACAAUAACAUGGGCACAGUAAUGGAAAACAGCAAAGAACUGUGAGGAACUUUGCUGGCACUUUUUCCAGGGCCAGCAGCUGGAAAGAGGGGCCACAAAACAUCAGCAAGGAAACUGCUGUUCUAAAAGAAAGACCACCCACAAGCCCAGCCCAUCCUGGGGACAGACGCAUGCUGAAAGUGGAGGUCGGGUCUGGAAGGGCAAAAGCAGAUGGCCCAGCAUAGCCCACCACUUUUCUUUGUCAACAUCAAGUAUUUCUGUGUCUGUACGAAAAACCAAGGUUCUGUCCCAGGGAAAUGACGGAGUCCCAUCAGCUACAGGAUCAUAACAAGGAGAUGUCAAUUCAGUCAUACUCGCCUGAAAGCUACAGCACCUUGAACGGUUCACCCAACCACCUCAUCUGCAUGUGGUUCUCGUGGCACGUAAAGCCCUAACUGGGUGGUCUCAGUUUCACACCGCUAUGACUUUGUUUUCUGCUGGAAGCAGUUCCCCUUAUCACCAGAGCCUCCAAACCUAGAAAAGCCAAGAAAGCAGAGAUGGAAGCAAUUCCUGAUGUGGGCUAUUUGGGGCAAAACUGGUAUCUCCCCUUAUGUCCCCCGUGAGUAAGCAUUCCACAGACAGUUUCAAAACAUUAUGUUGUAUACUGAUGUACACCAGAAAUAAUAAAACCAUCAGAAUUCC
rnacentral:lncRNA from 1 species